CGUCGAUGGGCUAAGCCGUAUUUCGAGAGAAUGAUCGCACACUGGGAUCGGAAAACGUCCGAAUCUACGGAGGCAGCAGUAGGGAUUUCGGCAUUGGGCGAAAGCUUGACGAGCAAGCCGCGUGAGUGAUGAAGCUUCGAGUUGUUAAGCUCUGUUGUAGAGGAGAAAUGCCAGAUAAGAAAUGAUCUUGGCUUGACGGUACUCUGCCAGAAAGCCACGGCUAACUACGUGCCAGCAGCCGCGGUAAUACGUAGGUUGCAAGCGUUAUCCGGAAUUAUUGGGCGUAAAGGGUGCGUAGGCGGUUACGUGUGUCUAAGGUGAAAUUCCAGGGCUUAAACUCUGGACUGCCUUAGAAACUGCGUGACUAGAGUGCAGGAGAGGGCAACGGAAUUCCAUGUGUAGCGGUAAAAUGCGUAGAUAUAUGGAGGAACACCGGUGGCGAAGGCGGUUGCCUGGCCUGUAACUGACGCUGAGGCACGAAAGCGUGGGGAGCAAAUAGGAUUAGAUACCCUAGUAGUCCACGCUGUAAACGAUGAAUGCUAAGUGUUGGAGUAAAAUUCAGUGCUGCAGUUAACGCAAUAAGCAUUCCGCCUGGGGAGUACGCACGCAAGUGUGAAACUCAAAGGAAUUGACGGGACCCCGCACAAGCGGUGGAUUAUGUUGUUUAAUUCGACGCAACGCGAAGAACCUUACCAGGCCUUGACAUACCGGACAAAACCAUAGAGAUAUGGCGGAGGAUGAAGGAUACAGGUGGUGCAUGGUUGUCGUCAGCUCGUGUCGUGAGAUGUUGGGUUAAGUCCCGCAACGAGCGCAACCCUUGUCUUUAGUUACCAUCAUUCAGUUGGGGACUCUAGAGAGACUGCCGGUGAUAAACCGGAGGAAGGUGGGGAUGACGUCAAAUCAUCAUGCCCCUUAUGGCCUGGGCUACAAACGUAAUACAAUGGCGUAUACAAAGGGACGCGAAAGGGUGACCUGGAGCAAAACUCAUAAAGUACGUCUCAGUUCAGAUUGAAGUCUGCAACUCGACUUCAUGAAGCUGGAAUCGCUAGUAAUCGCGGAUCAGCAUGCCGCGGUGAAUACGUUCUCGGGGUUUGUACACACCGCCCGUCAAACCAUGAGAGUUGGUAAUACCCGAAGCCGGUGGCCUAACCGCAAGGAGGGAGCCGUCGAAGGUAGGACCGAUGAUUGGGGUUAAGUCGUAACAAGGUAACCA
rnacentral:rRNA from 1 species